CUCGCGGGCGGGCCUCGGCAGGGAGGGUUUCGACCCUGCCGGUUCUUGGUAGUCACAAUCGGUAUUGCAGACCUUGUCGUGUGCCCGCCCACCCU
rnacentral:antisense_RNA from 1 species